AUUCUACUCCCUCUGUUGCACAAUACAUGCCUUCUAUUUGUCAAAAUAUAUAUAUGUAUCUAGACAUGUUUUAGUAUAUAGGUACAUCCAUUUUUGGACAAAUGGAAGUCAAGUAUUUUGGAACGGUGGGAGUACACA
rnacentral:pre_miRNA from 1 species